rnacentral:rRNA from 1 species
CCCCUAGAUGUUCUGGGCCGCACGCGCGCUACACUGAACAGUUCAACAAGUCUUAACCUUGGCCGACAGGCCUGGGCAAUCUUUGAACAUCGAUCGUGAUCGGGAUAGAUUCUUGUAAUUUUUGAUCUUAAACGAGGAAUUCCUAGUAAACGCAAGUCAUCAGCUUGCAUUGAUUACGUCCCUGCCCUUUGUACACACCGCCCGUCGCACCUACCGAUUGAAUGGUCCGGUGAAAUCUCGGGACGGCGGCUUGGUCGCUUGCGUCCGACUGCUGAAACUUGAUUAAACCAUAUCAUUUAGAGGAAGGUGAAGUCGUAACA